rnacentral:rRNA from 1 species
GACGAACGCUGGCGGCGUGCUUAACACAUGCAAGUCGAACGGAAAGGCCCUGCUUUUGUGGGGUGCUCGAGUGGCUAACGGGUGAGUAACACGCGAGUAACCUGCCCGUGACUUUGGUAGAACUUCAGGAAACUGGGGCUAAUUCAGGAUAGGUGCUCCUUCUGCAUGGUGUGGGUUGGAAAGGUUCGGUGGUUGGGGAUGGAGUUGCGGGUUAGCAGCUUGUUGGUGGAGUAGUGGUUUACCAAGGCUUUGACGGGGAGCCGGCGUGAGAGAGAGACCGGCUGCAUUGGGGCUGAGAUUCGGGCGAGAGGCCUACGGGAGGCAGCAGUGAGGAAUGUUGCAAAAUGGGUGGAGGCAUGCUGCGGCAACGACGCAUGCGGGCUGAUGGCCAUCGGGUUGUAAACCGAUUUAGGCUGUGACGUAGCGUGAGUGGCGUUAAUGGGUAGAGAAGCACCGGCUAACUACGUG